rnacentral:lncRNA from 1 species
CAAAAAGUGAUUGAAUAUGUAUAUAGUUUUACAUUCAUACAACAGAAUACAUCUUUACAAUGGAAACGAAAUGAACUGCUGAUGUACUCAACAAAUUGGAUGGAUCUCACAGACAUUAUGGUGGGUGGAAAUAUCCAGACACAAUAGAUUACUCACUUUAUGAUUUCAUUUAACGAAAUUAUUAAACUGGCAAAACAGAAGUAUAGUGUGUCGUGUCACAAGAACUCAAGCGCCAACAUGUAGAGGCUCCCCAUUAGCUAAAAAUAGACAUCAAGGAUAAUAACUGCAAUGGAUUGGGGACACAUCAAAUAUUUUCAUACAAGAAUUUACAUACAAGAGUUUAUCGUGACACCAGAAAUUAACUUGUUCAUAAUUUGGAGAAUGCUAAGGAACAAACUUGUGAAUACUUGUGAACAAAGGGAAUCACGCAUUCGUUCUGCCUUUUCAAUAUCAUCUGCACCAAAUAAUUGAUAAAAGGAAGCUCCUUUUUACAAAAAUAUUUCAGAUGAAAAGCGAAAAAGUGAAGGAAUUAGGCAAUCUCCAUUUGCAGCCUUUGUAGAAAUAAUGGAUCUUGGCAUUGAGUAUCCGUGACUGCCAAUAUCACACACAGACAAACAGAAGACAGCCAGACUUCGUGUGCCUCGUGGUGGAUGUGUAUACUGCCAUAUAUGAAGUGUCCUUGACAAAUAAUAAUAAAUCAAAGUCUGUGCAACCUCUGUAUCUAACUAUCAGAUUUUUAAAAAAAUACCAGUAAUAGAGGAGCAUGUUAGCUGACAUCACAGGAGUGCCAGUGGGCACUUUCAGACUGUGGGAAACUACAGGAAAAAAGACUGUUUCUUCCCUAUACAAAUUGUAAAGAUUAAACAAGCUGGGAAAAAGUCUGAUGGAGCAACUAAGAGAGCUCACUUGGUUCUUCCUCCUGCUUGGGCUGUGGGUGUGACGGUUGGACCUCCAAAACCAUCUCGUAACUGUGAGAUAUUGAUGCCUUCAGUUGAGAUUAAUUGGAUGUGGUUUCUAAUUAGCAAGAUAAAAAGUUGUGAAGAGGCACAAGUAAAUGAUGGCACUGUAUCGUCAACCGCUCUCCACCUCCUUUUGGACUGGAAAUCUGUCUCUUGGAUCCUGGUGUUCUUCUCAUGGGGAUGUAGUGAUUUCAAUGACUUCCUCUGGACCAUGGCUUGGCUGCACAGGAUUGUUGCCGCUUGUCUGAGAACAAUCUCUAAAGUGGUAUUUAGAGAUGAGAAAAUUGAAGCCCUGAGUGACUAUCUGAGGUUAGAUGACAGGUGGCACAUGGUGGAGGAGAUCUCAGGCCCAUCUGCCUGCAGUGGCCUCUCUGCUUUCUCUGUACUAUUCUGUGUCAGAAUCUUUGUUCCUCCUUCACUUCUCUCUCAUCCGCUUCCCAGUCAAAACAAUUUUAAAGCACAUGUACAUGUGAUUCCCACGUGUAUGCCCGGAAGCACUCUUGGAGAGGUAUAAUUACCCGGAAAAAGAUGUGCAUCUCUUCUUCCUUAUAAUCCUCCAUACAGCUACAAAGGAAAAAAAAAAAAAUCUCUUUACGAACACACAUAUUUAUUCCAAUGUUUAAACUCCAAUAGCAGAUGCUCACACAGAGAUACAAACAGGCAUCCUUCUACUCACUAAUAUGCACUAACCAUAAGCAUAUUAGAAAGUAGGAUAUGGGAAGAACUGGCAUAUAAAGCAAAAGGUAAUCAUAUCAUGAGCAAUAAAAGUCUCAAGAAAAUUAUACAACUCAGACUUGGCUGUUAAGACUACACGGGCACAGAAAAUUAGUUUUGAAUCUAGUUUGCUGCUUGAGUUUUGAGACAAGUAACUGACCAAUAACUGCAGGAAGUAGGAAAAAAAAAUUGAUUUCUAGGAGAGAGUGUGAGGUUCUGUGGACAAUUAGGUAGAACAGACAUUGCUUCCUGGUCUAAGAAGGUACCAGAAAUGAAAAACAACAACAACAAAAUCCCAGGAAACAAAAUCAAGUAAACAGCAACGAAAAAGGCUCAAAUCUAUGGGAAGCUAUGGCCUGAGUGGGGUCUUGGUCCAAGUAGUGUAAUUUCUUUGAGGAGAAGGGAACUGUGGGUAAGAGCACAGUGCCUCUGAUAAGGAAUGGUGUGUGAGCCACCCUAGAAACUCUAUCCCAGCUGGACCCAGGGUCUGCUGGCCGGCACCCAAAGCACCUGCAGUGACCAACACAGAAAUUAGCCCUCCUCAUGGCCAGCAGCAUCCUUGGAGGACUCACAGGACAGCCCACUGAUGUUACCUCCCAAUUCAUAUGGGACCCAGAGGAUGACGGCUUUUAAGAAAAUAUAGGCACUUUCUAUGCCCUACACCAUCAACCACUGAACCAAAGUAAAGGAAUCGCUAUUUAGGGCUGGUGUUCCCUGGGCCCAGAUACAAAGUAAAGAUUUUCCUUUUGUUUGUAUACUGAGUGUAUAUCCAGGCUCUUGUAGCCUGAGAGACCAAUUUUUAUAAACACACACACACACUCUGCUGUCAUAAACGUGCUCUGCACGUAUAUUUACCUGAGCCAAGAGUCAGAGAGAUGUUGUCCUACAACUUAGAAAUCGUCCAUGGGGGCUGAUGAUCCAGGCCUUCAUCUGAGUUUGAGGACUAUGGCUAGAACCACGUUUCGAUAUAAUUGGUUUCUUUACAGACCUAUACAUUUAAUUUUAUUCAGGU